rnacentral:rRNA from 1 species
AUUGAACGCUGGCGGCAGGCCUAACACAUGCAAGUCGAACGAGUGGCGGACGGGUGAGUAAGGUCUGGGAAAAUGCCUGAGGGAGGGGGAUAACUACGGGAAAGGGUAGCUAAUACCGCAUACCACAGGAUGUGCCCAAAUGGGAUUAGCAAGUAGGUGGGGUAACGGCUCACCUAGUCGACGAUCCCUAGCGGGUCUGAGAGGCUGACCAGCCACACUGUAACUGAGACACGGUCCAGACUCCUCAGGGAGGCAGCAGUGGGGAAUAUUGCACAAUGUGCGCAAGCCUGAUGCAGCCAUGCCGCGUGUAUGAAGAAGGCCUUCGGGUUGUAAAGUACUUUCAGCGGGGAGGCGUUACCCGCAGAAGAAGCACCGGCUAACUCCGUGCCAGCAGCCGCGGUAAUUC